rnacentral:lncRNA from 1 species
AGUGAUCCUCCAGUGGAAAAAAAAAUAAGUCUCCUUUGCUUGUUAGGGCCAAUCAAACUUGCCAUCCGAGGCCCUGAUUCCAUUGAGGUGGUCCACUCAUGCAACGUUGGGUUGCUUAAGGAGUGGCACCUUUUGGAAAUGCUCACAAGGUGGCCUCUAAUGCCAACAGGAUCCUCCCUUUGCAAGCUUGUUGGUGCAAUGUAACUCUGGUCCCCAGAGCUGAGACAGCCAUCCAUUGACUUGAUUCGAUGACGGAAGCCAGAACAGCUUUCCAGAUACCUGUGUCUUCCAUGAGUGCACGUCCCCACAUAAACAUUCUGGCGGCACACUCUUCUGUGUCUGUGUCACAUGGGUUCUGAGACACACAUUUCCCCAUUCAUUCAAAGGACCAUCUUAAUGUGUUCUUUUCCUUUAAGAGUUUCCUGUUCCCUCAAUGGACCCAUAGAUCAGUUUGAAACUCCUGGGAUGGACUCUGAUGGCCAUGCUGAGAGAACUGAUGGGUACCAUCGCUCAGCAGCUGAGCUUGCUCUUCAAGGCAGUGACGUGGCAAGCUAUGGGAGUUGGUGGAAAGAAAUCAUCGCAAGAGUGAAGCUGUAUACACACCAUACUUCCAACACAACCCUUUGAGAGUAAAGACCAAGCUUUGUGGUCACUGUUAGCUGAAGCCAUACCUUGUUCCUUUCCAGUGACUACAGUGGAGAAAAAUAUAUGCACAUUUCAGAGAAUUUUCCAGACUCUGGAAAAGGAUCUCUUCCAGCUGUGAAUUUUUCUAGUCUUUGUGAUUUCUUUUGAGGCUUUGGCAUCUUUCCUUGUAUAUUGUUUCAUUGAUUAAAUAUGUGCGUGUUUGUCUGUGCAUGCAUGUAUGGGUGUUAAACAUUCUAAGGCACUUGGGGAAUUUUUAACUGGAGUGGGAUACAAAUAUCUCAGAUGAAUGGUCAAAUUCCAGUCCGUGUUGCUGAAAUCGACACAGCCCCCUCCCCUAAGCACGCAUGCGUCGGCUCCUAAGGAAAUGAAAAACAGG